AGAGAAGAAGAAAGAAGAACAAGGAAGACAGUCAGUAGAGUGGUAUCUUCGUUCCCCUUCUUCUCCCUUUUUUUAUUGUGUCUGUUUUU
rnacentral:ribozyme from 1 species